UUUGUUUGGAGAGUUUGAUCCUGGCUCAGGACGAACGCUGGCGGCGUGCUUAACACAUGCAAGUCGAACGGAAAGGCCCUUCGGGGUACUCGAGUGGCGAACGGGUGAGUAACACGUGGGUGAUCUGCCCUGCACUUUGGGAUAAGCCUGG
rnacentral:rRNA from 1 species